CGGCCUGGUCGCACCGCUGUUCGAGCAGGCCAAGGUCUGCGCCAACCACCUGGCCAGCUUGGCUUCGCCGCUACCAGGGCUCGGUGACAUCCACCAAGCUCAAGGUCACCGGCAUCGACCUGUUCUCCGCCGGCGAAUUCAUGGGCGGCGACGGCACCGAGACCAUUACCUCUCCGACCCCAUUGGCGGCGUGUACAAGA
rnacentral:rRNA from 1 species